GGAAAAGUCGAUUCCAAAGGACGCGGCGUAUCAAGUAAUACAUGAUGAGCUUAUGCUGGAUGGAAAUCCGAGGUUGAACUUGGCUUCAUUUGUUACAACAUGGAUGGAACCUGAGUGUGAUAAGCUUAUGAUGGCUGCAAUUAAUAAGAACUAUGUUGACAUGGAUGAAUACCCUGUCACCACUGAACUCCAGGUAUCAAUCCUUCUUCACUUGUGCAUUUCAUCUACUAGGAAAAGGAAACUGAAUAAUGGCAGAAUUUAGCAUUCAUUAAAUGAAAACUGAUAAUGCAGAAUCGAUGUGUAAACAUGAUUGCAAACCUGUUCCAUGCUCCGGUUGGGGAAGAAGAGACAGCAGUAGGUGUGGGAACAGUUGGUUCCUCUGAGGCUAUAAUGCUGGCUGGAUUAGCUUUUAA
rnacentral:lncRNA from 1 species